ACUCAUACCUGGCAGGGGAGAUACCAUGAUCAUGAAAGUGAUUUUCCUAGGGUAAGGCUUGUCCAUUGCACUUCAGGUGUGCUAAUCCCUGUGAUUUCCCCAAAUGUGGGGAACUCAACUGCCUAAUUUAUGGUAGUGGGGGACUGUGUUUGUGGUUUCCCCUA
ensembl:snRNA U1 U1 spliceosomal RNA